GUGCCAGCAGCCGCGGUAACACGUGGGAGGCGAGCGUUGUCCGGAUUCAUUGGGCGUAAAGAGCGCGCAGGCGGCUAAGCAAGUCGGUUGUGAAAUCCCGUUGGCUCAACCACGGAACUGCAUCCGAUACUGCUUGGCUAGAGGUAGGUAGGGGAGAUCGGAAUUCCUGGUGUAGCGGUGAAAUGCGCAGAUAUCAGGAGGAACACCGGUGGCGAAGGCGGAUCUCUGGGCCUUACCUGACGCUCAGGCGCGAAAGCUAGGGGAGCGAACAGGAUUAGAAACCCGCGUAGUCC
rnacentral:rRNA from 1 species